UACGAAGGGAGCUAGCGUUGUUCGGAAUCACUGGGCGUAAAGCGCACGUAGGCGGCUGUGUCAGUCAGGGGUGAAAUCCCGGAGCUCAACUUCGGAACUGCCUCUGAUACAGCACGUCUUGAGUCCGAGAGAGGUGGGUGGAAUUCCUAGUGUAGAGGUGAAAUUCGUAGAUAUUAGGAAGAACACCGGUGGCGAAGGCGGCCCACUGGCUCGGUACUGACGCUGAGGUGCGAAAGCGUGGGGAGCAAACAGG
rnacentral:rRNA from 1 species